rnacentral:misc_RNA from 1 species
UCAAACUUGGUCAUUUAGAGGAAGUAAAAGUCGUAACAAGGUUUCCGUAGGUGAACCUGCGGAAGGAUCAUUAGUGAAUGAACUUGGUCAGGUUGUUGCUGGCCCUUUGGGGCAUGUGCACACCUCGACUCUCGUUUCCAUCUCCCAUGUGCACUUUCUGUAGACUCGAAGAACUCUCGAGAGUGAUCUCGACAGUUUUGUGGGAUUGCUGCUGCUUUCUCAUGUGAAAGCCAGCUCUCCCGUUGUAUUCCAGUCUAUGUUUCUUUCAUAUACUCUGAAAUGUACAAGAAUGUUCAUUCAGGCUUUCAAUGCCUUGAUAAAUACAUACAACUUUCAACAACGGAUCUCUUGGCUCUCGCAUCGAUGAAGAACGCAGC